rnacentral:misc_RNA from 1 species
GAUGAAGAACGCAGCGAAAUGCGAUACGUAAUGUGAAUUGCAGAUUUCAGUGAAUCAUCGAAUCAUUGAACGCACAUUGCGCCCGCUAGUAUUCUGGCGGGCAUGCCUGUUCGAGCGUCAUUUCAACCAUCAAGCCCUAGGCUUGCGUUGGAGCCCUGCGGCUGCCGCAGGCUCCCAAAUCCAGUGGCGGGCUCGUCGUCGUACCGAGUGCAGUAAACAUCCUCGCUCAGGGAACGUGACGGGUUCUUGCCGUGAAACCCCCCACAUAUCAAGGUUGACCUCGGAUCAGGUAGGAAUACCCGCUGAACUUAAGCAUAUCAAUAAGCGGAGGA